AUUUGACCCGAUUUACGAAACGAUCUUCUCUGCCUCUUGCUGCCCUCUGCUGUCACACGCCGAGGUGGCUCGGAGAGAGCUGCGGAGCCACGGCAAGGCUGGUCACUACGGAGCACCCAAAUCUGCCGGGGGGGAAGCCCUACAGUGUUCACAACCUGUUCUGAAGACAGCAUCCCUCGUUGCCAUAAGAGAGCUUCACAGUGAACUUCCUGCACAUCAUCACUUCAAAGUGAGAGGGCUUGGCCAUAUCCCUUCCUACUGAAAACUGGCUGAGGAGAAUCUGGGUAAGAGAUGUUUGUUUUGGGAAAAGAAGAAAGAAAACUACUCUGGAAUUAUUGAAAAAUGCA